UGGUAGUUCAUUGGUUAAAAUGUUGGACUACCGCUCAGAAGGUCGUGAGUUCAAAUCCCAGCACUGCCAA